ensembl:lncRNA
CGCGGCCACAGCCAAAGCCAGCCCCGGGCGGGCGCCGGGAGCCCCGGCCGGAAGGCAAGCGAGGCGCGGGGAGUCCGCCGGCCGCGACCGCGCAGGGACCAGGGAUCCGAUUGCCUUCCUUGACAUUAUAGCAUCCACAGAAGAAAGGGCAGGGCGUACGUCUCAGUCUUCCUUUAGGCUGGUUACUUUGGUGGACACAGACUUGUCACUGCAGUGUAGAUCCCAACCAUCAGGCUGUCUUUCUCAAGUGUGAGGUUGACAGAGAAAACGGCAAAUGACAUCAAUGACCAGGUGUCCGUAUAAAGCAGCUGAUUUGGAAAACGGUUCCUUUGAGGCCUGUUUGGGUGAGAAUCACUGAGAUCACAAAAAAGGAAGCAGCUGGUAAGUUCUGGAAACCUUUUUAUAUAGGCCCAGAAUUUGAAUAAUGCACUAAAUGGCG